AGAGUUUGAUUUUGGCUCAGAUUGAACGCUGGCGGCAGGCUUAACACAUGCAAGUCGAGCGGGCGAGGUUGCUUCGGUAACUGAGCUAGCGGCGGACGGGUGAGUAAUGCUUAGGAAUCUGCCUAUUAGUGGGGGACAACAUUCCGAAAGGGAUGCUAAUACCGCAUACGUCCUACGGGAGAAAGCAGGGGAUCACUUGUGACCUUGCGCUAAUAGAUGAGCCUAAGUCGGAUUAGCUAGUUGGUGGGGUAAAGGCCUACCAAGGCGACGAUCUGUAGCGGGUCUGAGAGGAUGAUCCGCCACACUGGGACUGAGACACGGCCCAGACUCCUACGGGAGGCAGCAGUGGGGAAUAUUGGACAAUGGGGGGAACCCUGAUCCAGCCAUGCCGCGUGUGUGAAGAAGGCCUUUUGGUUGUAAAGCACUUUAAGUGGGGAGGAGGCUUACCUGGUUAAUACCUGGGCUAAGUGGACGUUACCCACAGAAUAAGCACCGGCUAACUCUGUGCCAGCAGCCGCGGUAAUACAGAGGGUGCGAGCGUUAAUCGGAUUUACUGGGCGUAAAGCGCGCGUAGGUGGCUAAUUAAGUCAAAUGUGAAAUCCCCGAGCUUAACUUGGGAAUUGCAUUCGAUACUGGUUAGCUAGAGUAUGGGAGAGGAUGGUAGAAUUCCAGGUGUAGCGGUGAAAUGCGUAGAGAUCUGGAGGAAUACCGAUGGCGAAGGCAGCCAUCUGGCCUAAUACUGACACUGAGGUGCGAAAGCAUGGGGAGCAAACAGAAAGAGAUACCCUGGUAGUCCAUGCCGUAAACGAU
rnacentral:rRNA from 1 species